UUUGGAGAAUGGAAUUUGCUGAAAAUAUUUCUUUAUAGUGUUUUCAGUUUCAUCAUAUGCUUGGUGAUUUUAUUUGCAAAAUUAUUUCAACAUUCGAGAAGUCUCCGGUUCAAAGCUCACACAGCAUUUUUGGUAUUGACAAUCACCUCUGUUUAUUCCUUUUUCUUCGAUAAAGUGAUGAAUGGGAAACCAGAUGCAUAUAGUUUAAUUUCAUGUGCUGCUUUUUCUAUCAUGUCAUUGAGUUUGUCGAGGCAAACUCAAUGCGGAUUUGAAAUUGAUCUUCUCUAUUUCUUCCUCGGAUGUCUAAUUGUGCAACUCAUGAAGAUUAAAUUGCAGUUAUUCAUUCUUGGAGCAGGUUUCAGCUACUCUCUUAUUAUUCUCCGUUCUUUUUUCUCUUCUAUUGAUGCUAGAGGACAUAAUCAAUACUCUCAAUUCCAAGAUGGAAACUCGGUGAUUCUUCAUAUUGAUUCACUACAACUAGCUAAUACUAUUACUGAUAUUGCUUGUGCUAGAAGUAGAAAUAACAUCGAUUCACCACCAUUGGUGAUCACUACUGAUAUUAGUAGUGUGAUGGAACAACUCUGGACUUUUGUGAAGGCGCUUCAACAAGAAAAUUUAAAUCUCAUUCAGAUGGUUUUGGAUCAUGUAAAAAACUAUUGUGAACAACACUCUCCAUUGGUGGCGACCGAUCCUAACUUCAUGAUGGAUGCGCUGAAGCCAGAAACAAUCAAAGGCCUGGAGGAAACAGCGAAGGUUAUGGUGAGCGCUGGGUUUGAGAAGGAUUUUUCUGAUGUGUACAACAGUUGCCGGAGGGAAUGCUUGGACAAAUGCCUAAUGCAUAGAUUAUUCAUGUUAAAGAAACUCAGCAGCGAGGACAUUCACGAUAUGCCAUGGAUGGAUCUCGAAGACGAGAUUAAAAUAUGGAUUAGAGCUUUCAAUGUCACCCUUAAGAUACUUUUCCCAGGUGAGCGACAACUCUGUGAUCGUGUCUUCUCCGGGUUCGCAUCUGCAGCUGAUUUCUCCUUCAUUGAGAUUUGCAGGGAAUCCAUCGUUCAACUUCUAAAUUUUGCAGAUUCUAUUGCAGCCGGAAGUCAUUCUCCAGAAUGUUUGUUUAACAUCAUCGAGGUGUUUGAAACAUUGCGUGACCUAAUUCCAGAAUUUGAGUCCUUAUUUUGUGAUCAGUACAGUGUGUCUCUAAAGAAUGAAGCAAUUACUAUAUGGAAGAAACUUGGGAAAGCAAUUAGAAGUAUUUUCAUGGAGUUGGAGUAUUUGCUUGACCAAAACUUGACGACGGGGACAUAUCUCAGCAGUGUUCUUCACCCGAUUACUCAACAUGUGGUGAACUAUCUCCGUGUAGUUUCCCAAUCACGGAAAACACUAGAGCAAGUUUUUGACGAUUCCUCACUUUCUGGGAAGAUUAUUAAUAUUAUGGAUAUAUUGGAGAGUAAUUUAGAAGCAAAGGCAAAAUGCUACGAGGAUCCUUCUUUAGGCUAUAUUUUCUUGAUGAAUAACAACACUUAUAUAAUUCAGAUGACCAAAGAUAAUGAACUAGGAAUCCUUUUAGGGGAUGAAUGGUUCCAAAAACACACUCUGAAAAUUUGGCACUACCAUGAACAAUAUCAGAUAACUUUGGGCACUAUGCCCCCCACUUUAGUGCAAGAUUUUUUCCCAUUAUUGUACAUCAAACAACAGAUAAAAGGUGUACGAAGGAUCGAAGGAUCAAAGGCGUACGAAGGAAAUGUGCAGGAAAUAGAAGCAUUACUCUCUCAGCUACCAAAAAGGUAUUAAAAAACUUUGACCAAAUACAUCUUACUAUAGCUUAUGUUCGUAAUAAACAUAUUAUUAUAUUUAAAAUCAGAAGCUUGCACACUAACCUGAUAAGUGUGUUUUCGCAUUAAAUUGUAGUAGGAAAAUGGAACCGGAGAUAGAGAUAAGAACAAUAGUACUGAUCUCUCCUGCACCACACGUUGAAAGCAUAGAAAAAAUGCCACCGAAAGACGGGUUUAUCUGGAAAAAAUAUGGAAAGAAAGAGAUACCUGACGUCAAAUACCCGAGGUACGUAUAAGGAAUUAUGUAAUUAAUCUUGCUUCUGGAAACAUGACAAACUACUACAUACCCACCGUUGUGAUAAUUUCACACGGUUAAUGAAACCCAUAGAUGUGAUAAGUUGCAUUUUACAAUUGUCAUUACAUACUAACCAAUGCGAUAACCAACAUUUCGCAUCAAAUAUCUCUACCAACCGAUGUGAAAUCUAUUUUUAUUUUUUAUUUUAUCCCAUAAACUUACAAAUUAACAGCCACAUAACAACAAUAGAAAUUUGUCAACAAUAGAAAUUAAAUACGGCUCCAAUAACAUAAAAAUUAAUAUGUCAGAAAAACUAAUAUCAUAGUUUAUACUACAUUAAUGAUAACAAGUACUCCGCUAGUUACUGUACUAAUGUAUGCUAUGGAAACAUCACAACAUCUAGUUAAAAAAUAGAAAAACUACAAAAACAUACCCAAAUCAUGGAAUCAAAUCCAUACCAUUAGCCAUAAUAAAAUCACACCAUCAAAUUCCUUGCACAAAAUCAUAUCAAGCAGACCAAGCCAGCAAACAGCUCGCAAACACUUUAUGGCGCGCCCAAAUGCCCAAUACAAUAAACUAAAAAUCUAAGAUUUAUCAGCUAGCAUUAAACUCAGAAAAACAAGUUGCCCAACGUAGACGAGCGUCAUAUAAAUCCUCGUUUGUGAAUGGUGUUUUUUAAUUGAAUAUCUACAAAUUAAAUUAUACAAUAUAUAAGUAAGUUAGAUCAUAACAAUAAACUAUCAUUCACUAACGUCAAAUGCACUUAGAUGAGAUGAUGCAAGUCUCUUUUAACAUAACCAAUGUCCUGGAUUCGACCCUUGGUUUGAGCAGACAACAACGUUAGGAGGUCGUCUCUACCAGUCCAAAGCACACGAAAUACCCUGAAGCAAGCCAACAAAGAUACAAUAGUACAAAUANNNNNNNNNNNNNNNNNNNNNNNNNNNNNNNNNNNNNNNNNNNNNNNNNNNNNNNNNAACUGCACUACUAUAGCAGAGUCAAAAACCUGAAGCUACGACCAACUGCACAACCUGAGGCAGCUAGCUCAUCUGUUUCGGUGCAGCAGCAGAAUGAUAAUGUUAGAUGGAAGGAACCAUGUUUGGCGAGGCUUAAUUGUAACAUCGAUUCCUUGUUUAACUCUCUUGGUAUUAAAUUUGGGCUCGGUAUGUAUAAUAGGGAUGAGCUUGGUAUACUUUUGUUUUGGCUAACUGAACGGUUUAGCCCUAUUUGUGAGGUUGCUUUUAAUUUGGCUAAUUGGCUCAUAAUUGGCUUCAUGAGUUACAAAUGGGACUGGUAGUCUUUGAGCUUAUUCGAAGAGGGUGGGGGAUAACUUCUGUUCUUCCAAAUAUGAUGUCACAGAGUUCGGAGCCAUUAUCAAACAAUGUAAAACUAUCUUUUCAAAUGUUUUUAUAAAGUCAAAUGUAGAGUUUAUGUGGAGACAAACAAAUGAGGUUGCAUCUGCAUCUAGCUUCCCAAAUUCAGAUUGUAUUGAGCACUUGUUGGCACCCAAACAUAACAAUUAUUUGCAGCACGACAUAUAAUAUUAAUACUUCCUUUUCUUAAUGAAUGCCAAAGUACGUGGUUAUUUUUUCUUACACAUGAUGAGUAAUGAUUCAUAUUUCCUAUAACCACAAUUGAAACAUUUCUUUUCUUUUAGGAGUUACUAUAGGUGCAGCCACAUGAAUUUAGAUGCCUGUCAAGCCAAGAAGAAAGUACAACAACUUGGUGACAAUCCAAACGUUUUUGAAGUAACAUACAAUGGUGCACAUUCCUGCCGUAUGUCCUUGACAAUACCAUCAUUAUUUUUACCAGCACGAAGGAUCUCAAAGGAUAUGACUCAAACCACCAUGCCGGCAUCAACUUCAUAUUCUGAGUGGCUUUCAUCGGGCACGCCAGGUGAGCAACAAACUUGUAUAACAUAGUAAUCUUAGACGUUUUUCUAAUUAGAAUGAGUAUAAGGAUGAAGGAUGGGUACACAUCAGUGACCUUGUAUAUAUAGGCAUAUAUUCCUCGACCAUAUAUGAAGAUACCCAACCUGCAGUCUAUUGCAACCAAUGAACAUAAAAAAAUUAAAAGGUGAACCUGAAAAAUAAUUCGAUUUCCCUAAACCUUGAACUUGUAUGAUGCAAAGGUAGUAACAAACUACAAAGCAUCAAUCAAAACUUUAUUUCAGUUUUGAUUUCAAAAUUAAUUCGUAGAGUAUAAUAAAGGAUAUAACUUAACGCUUAGCUCGUUUAGUGGAUGGGGUGACAGAGUUAAGAAAUUGAAUGACUAAGAGAUCGAGGAUUCAAAUUCCACUUUCAGCAUAAUACUAACACAGCGGAUACGUAUUACCCUACAAUGCCUUAGGAACUGUCCAACAAGUUCUUACCUUAGGAAUAGUUCAACCAGUUCUUAACAUAAAUGUUGCGAAACGAGUGUUUAAAUUGUUGUAAGAUGCAUUGGCUGACGCAAGGUUUUUGAAUGUUUCCUUGAACAUUAGUGCAGAACGGUUAACGGUAUAUUAAUGCAAAAUAAAGCCCAAAAAACUCAAUUUAUUAUAAUGAUAAUUGCAAUGUAAUCAAUAUAAGUUACUAAGUUUCCAUCAUGGCUCAUGACAAUCUAUGAUGCACGGGCACUUCUCAGAUUAGCUGUGCCCCGUGUCGGACAAGUGUAAGUGUCGGACACUGACAUUUAUGAUUAUACUUAAUUAUAUAAUUUUCUCCUAUAUUAUAUAUGUAAGAAUUCAAAGUCAUUUUCAAGUUCAGAUAACAUCUUAUCAGUGCGAUGAUAGAUUGAAACACACAUCAUAAAAAGAAAAGAGUGCAGCACCCAGAAGGAGCCAUCAUAGAUCAAACAACAAAUUUAUAUUUUAUUUUUUUAGGCUCUAAAGUUGACAUGCAGGAGGCAUCCAACCGAAUGUUGAUUUUAAGUCUCACUUAAACUUGAGUCUGAAUAUUGUGACACUAAUUGAAUUCUACAGCCAAAUACAUAAAUUCUAUCCCAACAGCCAACCUAGCUGCUCCAGAAGACGGUGGGCAUCAUCCUAUGAUGGACAAUGUCGGGGACUAUCUUGUUUCUGCUAUCAGAUCACAGCAGAUUGUUUCUGCUAUCAGAUCACAACAGAUCUAUGCUGUUAAUGGAGAAGAAGAAUUUUCACCACAAGCAGAGGGGACAAUUGAACUGUUAGAGAGCAUAUUGGCAUCGAAGUCCGAAAAAUAUGUGGAUGUGUCUUUGCGUCAUUUCUUCAUGAUGAAUAAUUGGAGGUAUUUAGAAGUGACAAAUAAUAGAUUGGAACUAGAUGCAAUGUUCGGGGAUGUUUGGUUGCAAAGAAACAGAGAAAAAGUCCAACAAAACCUUGAACUCUAUACGAGAGACUCAUGGGAUAAGGUGUUGGAAUGUUUAAAGUUGGAUAUAAAUGACUCCACGGAAAUUAAUUUUGCAACAGAUUUGAUGAAAGAAAAACUCAAUUUGUUUAACAUGAAAUUUACAGAAACAUGUAGUGUUCAGUGCAGAUGGUCUGUUCAUGAUGAGAAGCUAAGGGAAGAAAUAAUUGAAUCUCUCAAAAAUACCUUGUUGCCAGCAUAUGGAACCUUCAUUGGGAAGUUUCAGGAUUUUCUUAAAAACAAAGCUUACAAGUAUAUUGAGUAUGGAAUGUUUGAUAUUCAAGAUGUACUUGAUAGUUUGUUUCUUGGAAACAAGAAAGACGUAUGAAUCAUUUGGUUCGGUUUCUAUUUUAUUUUGUCUUUUUUUUCUUAAUCUUUCGAUGAAGUUGUUUUGGUUUUGUAAUGUUAUUUGGCAUUGAUGUACUUUGUGAGAGUGUUUCUUAGAUUUUAUAGAAACAUCUUAUAAUAUGUAUAUAAGUUAUUUUCAAUUUAUUUCCAUUUGCGACAGCAUCAACGAAAUUCAGCAAAUGAACGAUGAACUCCAACAUUCUCAUUGUGGUAGAUUUCUUCCAUUAUAAUCACAAUGAUGCAAAUUUCAUCCAAGUACAAGACUUUCAGCUAAGAAAAUUUCAUCUAAUUUUGUUUGAUCAAUUCUCAAUAGUAUCUAUUUUGUUUUCAAUAAUGUACCCUCCCAUAAUUAAUAUCAAUCAUCAGUCCUAUUAGUGCACAUUUUAUUUGGAUAUGUACCAACAUACUUCUGAAGUGAAUAAUUCUGAUAGGACCAAAAAUUAAUAAAUAUUCUUUAUGAAAAUUAUCUACCUUAAUAGUAUACCUAAGAUUAAAAAAGAUGAAAAUUAAAUUGAGUUCUUUGCGUUAAUUACAAUAUAAAUUAAAAAAAGAUGAAAGGUACUUAGUUCACAAGAGAAAGAAGAUGAAGUCAAAGUUAAUUAGUAUAAAAAGAUAAGGUGGACCACCAUUGACUAAACUAUUGACUAGAUAUGACAUUUCCCUUGGUUUGGAACUUUCCUCAUAAUUGAUUGGAAAAAUCAUAAAAAAACAGACAAGUCAAAAUGGAAAAAUAAUUGGAACUUUCCUGGCAAUGAUCAACAGCUUUGGUCCCUAAUUGCUUCAAAUUUCAGCUGAGAUAGAGAUAGCUUCUCAAACCCGAAAUCAAAAAAGAUUGGUUUCAUUCUCAUUUCAUAUGUGAAAUCAAUUCUUACACACUUUAGACAACAUGACACAUAUUUUAAUCCAAAUUUGGAGAUGGUUGAUGCAGCCAAAGGUGUGGAGAUUUAUAGGCUUUGCUUCAGCUGUUGUUGGACUGGUCUGUUAUGCUUUAAGCUCUUCCUUCAACUAUCUCUUUGGCGAUUGGAAUUUUCUGAAACUAUUUCUUUAUAUUAUUUUCAGUUUCAUUAUAUGCUUUGUGAUUUUAUUUGCAAAAUUAUUGCAACAUUCGAGUAGUCUUCGGUUCAAAGCUCAUACCGCAUUUUUGGUAUUGACAAUAACCUCUGUUUAUUCCUUUUUCUUCGAUAAAGUGAUGAAUGGGAAACCAGAUGCAUAUAGUUUAAUUUCAUGUGCUGCUUUUGCUAUCAUGUCAUUGAGUUUGUCGAGGCAAACUCAAUG
rnacentral:lncRNA from 1 species